AUUCCAGCUCCAAUAGCGUAUAUUAAAGUUGUUGCGGUUAAAAAGCUCGUAGUUGGAUUUCUGUUGAGGAAGUCCGGUCCGCACUUUGUGCGUGAUCUGGUUCUGCCUCGGCAUCCUCGCGGGGAACGCGCUGCGCUUGAUUGCGUGGUGCGGUAUUCGCGACUUUUACUUUGAGGAAAUUAGAGUGUUCACGGCAGGCUAUCGCCUUGAAUACGUUAGCAUGGAAUAAUAAUAUAGGACCUUGGUUCUAUUUUGUUGGUUUCUAGAACUAAGGUAAUGAUUAAUAGGGAUAAUUGGGGGCAUUUGUAUUAACACGUCAGAGGUGAAAUUCUUGGAUUGUGUUACAACAAACUACUGCGAAAGCAUUUGCCAAGGAUGUUUUCAUUG
rnacentral:rRNA from 1 species